GAGUUAAUUUUUUAAGUUUUGAAAACUUUUUUUAGAUUUUGGUCUUUAACUUG
rnacentral:tRNA from 1 species